UCCUGGAUAGCUCACUUGGUAGAGCAGGAGACUCUUAAUUCCAAGGUCACAGGUUCAAUCCCCAAGUUGGGCA